UUAACACUUUGACUGCCACGCCAAAAUCACAUGUUUCGCUCAGGACAACACGGGAGUAUUUUUAUUAUUCAAAGGCUUCGUUUAUUUCAACAAACCAUUCGCAUUCGUUAUUUCGUCGUAAACAAAACGUCCAGAAUAUAUUGUUGAAACGUGUAGAAGAUAUUAGUAAACAGUAUGUGCUCAUUCUAUAUAUAAUAGUGUUACGUCCCGAGGCUUACUAUAGGCCGUGUUCCUAACCGUCUCCCUUGGUACUACAGUGUUCCAGACUGAUCGUCUUACAUGACCGGCGAGAUAUACACAAUGUAGCGAUAAGCGCAUAGUUGUCGUCAAGCAGCGAAUUCCAAAAAACAUCGAUUCGCCUUCGGUCCGUUAUUUUACCUACACAAAAAAGGCGGCUACGUGAUCAUAGGCGCGAAUGGUUGCGAGACCCGAGCGUGGCGG
rnacentral:misc_RNA from 1 species